UAGAACCCGGUUACUAUUCUAGGACAGGUUGAACCAACCAAACUUCAGUGGGGAGGGUACUUACCUAUGGAACUCAUGCAAGCCUUAAAACCUAGGAAUGAUGGUUGUGUGACUUGCUUGUGCUUGUUAUUUAUUUAACCUCAUAACAUCAUAACAUCUUAACAUCAUAACAUCAUGACAUCAUAACAUUGUACUAACCAUUUCAAGGACUUAGGGAUUUAACUUUGCUCUGUUUUGUA
rnacentral:lncRNA from 1 species